CCUACGGGACGCAGCAGUGGGGGAUAUUGCACAAUGGGGGAAACCCUGAUGCAGCGACGCCGCGUGGGUGAAGAAGCGCCUCGGCGCGUAAAGCCCUGUCAGCAGAGAAGAAAAUGACGGUACCUGAAGAAGAAGCCCCGGCUAACUACGUGCCAGCAGCCGCGGUAAUACGUAGGGGGCAAGCGUUAUCCGGAUUUACUGGGUGUAAAGGGGGCGCAGACGGCGAUGCAAGCCAGGAGUGAAAGCCCGGGGCCCAACCCCGGGACUGCUCUUGGCACUGCGUGGCUAGAGUGCAGGAGGGGCAG
rnacentral:rRNA from 1 species